AUCCAGCUGACGAGUUUCAAAAAGGACGAAGUACGAGUCCUGGAU
rnacentral:hammerhead_ribozyme from 1 species